GAAGGGUGCAAGCGUUACUCGGAAUUACUGGGCGUAAAGCGUGCGUAGGUGGUGAGUUAAGUCUGAUGUGAAAUCCCCGGGCUCAACCUGGGAAUGGCAUUGGAUACUGGCUCGCUAGAGUGCGGUAGAGGGUGGUGGAAUUCCCGGUGUAGCAGUGAAAUGCGUAGAGAUCGGGAGGAACAUCUGUGGCGAAGGCGGCCACCUGGACCAACACUGACACUGAGGCACGAAAGCGUGGGGAGCAAACAGGAUUAGAUACCCUGGUAGUCCACGCCCUAAACGAUGCGAACUGGAUGUUGGGUGCAACUUGGCACUCAGUAUCGAAGCUAACGCGUUAAGUUCGCCGCCUGGGGAGUACGGUCGCAAGACUG
rnacentral:rRNA from 1 species